UUUCGGAGCCAGAUCUUCGCUCCGGUGUUCUUUGAACCUGGAGAGGAAAGUCCGGACACCACCGGGCAGGAUUCCCCGUGAAAGCGGGGGCGCGGCGUUUCAAGGCGCCGUGACGGACAGUGUCACAGAAAAUCAGACCGCUCGGCGGGCAACCGCCGGGCAAGGGUGAAAAGGUGGGGUAAGAGCCCACCGCGCCGAAAGCAAUGACGGCGGCACGAAAAACCCAAUCCGGUGCAAGACUGAAUAGGGGACUCGGCGGCCCGCCGGACAGUCCCGGGUUAGUCGCAUCCGUGGCCGGGCCCGCGUCAGCGGGACCGUCGCGGGCAGGGGCGCCGCCAGGCGUGCCUGAGAGAAAUGAAGAUCAUGCCGUCCUCCGGGGCGGCGGACAGAAUCCGGCUUACCGGCUGCGAAACUAG
rnacentral:RNase_P_RNA from 1 species